AUCUAUGGCCAUGCCACCCUGAACAUGCUCGAUCCCAUCUGAUCUCAGAAGCUAAGCAGGGUCGGGCCUCGUUAGUACUUGGAUGGGGGACCACCCAAGAAUACCAGGUGCUGUAGGCA
rnacentral:rRNA from 1 species